rnacentral:rRNA from 1 species
GCUUAACACAUGCAAGUCGAACGAGAAAGAGGUUGCUUGCAAUCUCGAGUAGAGUGGCGCACGGGUGAGUAACACGUAGAUAAUCUACCUUCAAGCCUGGAAUAACUGUCCGAAAGGGCAGCUAAUACCGGAUAAAGUUGAUUCACACAAGUGGGUCAAUGAAAGAUUGCCUCUUCUUGAAAGCAAUUGUUUGGAGAUGAGUCUGCGGACCAUUAGUUUGUUGGUGGGGUAACGGCCUACCAAGACUGCGAUGGUUAGCUGGUCUGAGAGGAUGAUCAGCCACACUGGAACUGACACACGGUCCAGACUCCUACGGGAGGCAGCAGUGAGGAAUUUUGCGCAAUGGGGGUAACCCUGACGCAGCAACGCCGCGUGAGUGAAGAAGGCCCUUGGGUCGUAAAGCUCUGUCGACAGGGAAGAAGUUAACAUCAUCCAAUAGGUGUUGUUAUUGACGGUACCUGUAGAGGAAGCACCGGCUAACUCCGUGCCAGCAGCCGCGGUAACACGGGGGGUGCAAGCGUUAUUCGGAAUUAUUGGGCGUAAAGGGCGCGUAGGCGGUCUUGUCGGUCAGAUGUGAAAGCCCGGGGCUCAACCCUGGAAGUGCAUUUGAAACAGCAAGACUUGAGUACGGGAGAGGAGAGCGGAAUUCCUGGUGUAGAGGUGAAAUUCGUAGAUAUCAGGAGGAACACCGAUGGCGAAGGCAGCUCUCUGGACCGAUACUGACGCUGAGGCGCGAAGGCGUAGGUAGCGAACAGGAUUAGAUACCCUGGUAGUCCACGCAGUAAACGUUGUACACUCGGUGUGCCGGAUAUUAAAAUCUGGUGUGCCCAAGUUAACACAUUAAGUGUACCGCCUGGGGAGUACGGUCGCAAGACUAAAACUCAAAGGAAUUGACGGGGGCCCGCACAAGCGGUGGAGCAUGUGGUUUAAUUCGACGCAACGCGAAGAACCUUACCUAGGUUUGACAUCCUGUGAAUAUUCUAUAAUCGGAAUAGUGCCUUCGGGAGCACAGUGACAGGUGCAGCAUGGUUGUCGUCAGCUCGUGCCGUGAGGUGUCGGGUUAAGUCCCAUAACGAGCGCAACCCCUAUCAUUAGUUGCCAUCAGGUCAAGCUGGGGACUCUAGUGAAACUGCCUACGCAAGUAGAGAGGAAGGUGGGGAUGACGUCAAAUCAGCACGGCCCUUACGUCCAGGGCUACACACGUGCUACAAUGGCCGGUACAGAGGGCAGCCACCACGCGAGUGGGAGCGAAUCUCGAAAGCCGGUCUCAGUUCGGAUCGAAGUCUGCAACCCGACUUCGUGAAGCUGGAAUCGCUAGUAAUCGCGCAUCAGCCAUGGCGCGGUGAAUACGUU